ACCUCUCACGACCAUCAUUUCCUUGGUCAGCAGAAAACCCUAGAUCUUAUUUUAAAGCCAAACCCUCCCUUUCUUUCUCCAACGCCCAAUUCCAAAGUCGUUGUUUCACUUUUCCCAAUCCUCCAUGGUCGCUGCCACCGCAUUGCUCCACUCUCUCUGCUGCCGCGACCUUCCCUCUUCUCCUCUCUCUGCCUUCUGAUCGGUACCAUUCCGCCCUCUCUUACUAAUAAGGUGUGAGCGCCCCCACACCCUCGUAGCCGCCAAGGAUAUACUACCUCUAUUACCAGUGUGCUCCGUACUGCUUACCAGACUAACGUGAUGGCCUUCAAAUGGAAAUGUUGUUCGCUUGUGCCUUCAAAGGUUGGGGGUUUUGGAUUCGCAAGUUUGCUGAGAUAUACGCGUCCAAGUGAAAAGAUCCAGUGGGCUCAAUGUAAAGAUUGUUUCAAGUGGCGCAAAUUGCCAGCAAGUGCACUUCUUCCAUCAAAAUGGACAUGUUCUGAUAAUUUGUGGGAUCCAGAAAGUGAAGAUGUAAUUGUCGCUCUGACUGAUAUCUUGAAGCUACCUCUGAUGGAUAAAAGCAAUGGCUGCAGCUUCUCUAGCAUAUCUUCAAUUGUUGUCUUUUCAAGUGCUGUUUUUGUUGUCUCCUUGAUUUUGGUUCGUCUCCUUUAUCUCUUAUACUGUAGCAGCAAGCCCUUGAGCAAAAGGGCUUCAAAACCUUUUAGUACCCUUAUUAUUUUAGGAUCAGGUCGUCAUAUUGUUGAGAUGCUUAAUCUACUGGCAGUGUUACAGAAAGGUAGGUUUAAUCCAAGAUUCUACAUUGCUGCUGCUACUGAUAAUAUGAGUCUUCAAAAAGCUCAGUUGUUGGAGAAUUCCCUGGCUGCUGAGUACGUUCAUGAUGAAUCAGAAACUUUAUCUGAUAUUGAUGAUGAAGAAGUUGAUUUGUACAUUCAUGAUGAGGAGGGGAAGCAUAUCAAGAAGAUACUGUGGGAAACAGCAAAUAGGGAGUAUCUUGAGGAGCAGGCAGCCAAGGAAGCAGCUGCAGCAGCUAGCAAGAAAGCUUUUGAGGCAAAAUUUGAAAACUGUUCGGAGGAUAUACUAGCGGCAAGAGAGCUUGCUGCAUCUUCUACUGAAGCUGUGGCAAAAUCCAAAAAGGAAAUGAGACAGAAACGAGCUUAUGAGGCAAAAAAUACAAGGCCAGCUCAAUCUGCUGCAGAGACCUUUGGCCAAAUGUCUAAUAAAAAAAGGGAGCAAGCAGCCAAGGAAGUAGCUGCAGCAAUUAACAAGAAAGCUUUUGAGGCAAAAUUUGAAAACUGUUCGGAGGAUAUACUAGCGGCAAGAGAGCUUGGUGCAUCUUCUACUGAAGCUGUGGCAAAAUCCAGAAAGAAUUUGUAGGGUCUCAAAUCUAAAGUCAAUUUUGAACUCCUGAAUGAAUUGUUUGAUGAAAUGUUGCAACAUCAUAAAAGACCUUUUGUUGAGAUACGCAGUUCUCUCCAUGUUUUGGAGCGCAAUUGCUUGCUCUAAAAAGUAUAAUGAGGCUGACCUCUUAGAUGGAGAAACAGGUACUGGGAAGACUACAAUUCAAGCUAAUUGUGGUGAAGUUUUGUCAAAUAUUACUCCAUAUUUUUAUUUCUUUUCUCUUUCAUAUAAACCUGUGUUGCUGAUAACAGAUCAUAUAAAUUUGGACAUAAACUUUGAUUUGAUCAUGUGCCAGUGUGUGAUAAUUUCUGAUUUUUGGGAUUGAGUUCUUUGUAUUAGUUUGUAAAUUAUUCUUUCUCUUCAGAUUUAGUUCACAUUGUUGUCUAUACAAUAACUCAAAUUAUUCUUUGUAUCA